GGUCUCCUGGUGCUUACCACAGGCUGUGUUCUUACACCGGCUGUAUGGAAAAAGGAGGCAGAGUAAAUCUACCCCAUAUAUACCUCAGUCCAGACCCUAUGUCUGGUCUGUAUUGUGAAUGAGGGGACAUGG
rnacentral:snoRNA from 1 species